UACAGGAGGUCCCAAGCGUUGUUCGGAUUCACUGGGCGUAAAGGGUGCGUAGGUGGCCAGGUAAGUUUGGUGUGAAAGCUCGGAGCUUAACUCCGAAAAGUCAUUGAAUACUAUCUGGCUGGAGGGUCGGAGGGGAGACUGGAAUUCUCGGUGUAGCAGUGAAAUGCGUAGAUAUCGAGAGGAACACCAGUGGCGAAGGCGAGUCUCUGGACGACUCCUGACAGCUGAGGCACGGAAAGCUAAGGGGAGCGAAACAGG
rnacentral:rRNA from 1 species